AGUGAACGCUGGCGGUAGGCCUAACACAUGCAAGUCGAACGGCAGCACAGUAAUAGCUUGCUCUUACGGGUGGCGAGAGGCGGACGGGUGAGGAAUACAUCGGAAACUACUUUUUCGUGGGGGAUAACGUAGGGAAACUUACGCUAAUACCGCAUACGACCUACGGGUGAAAGCAGGGGAUCUUCGGAUCUUGCGCGAUUGAAUGAGCCGAUGUCGGAUUAGCUAGUUGGCGGGGUAAAGGCCCACCAAGGCGACGAUCCGUAGCUGGUCUGAGAGGAUGAUCAGCCACACUGGAACUGAGACACGGUCCAGACUCCUACGGGAGGCAGCAGUGGGGAAUAUUGGACAAUGGGCGCAAGCCUGAUCCAGCCAUACCGCGUGGGUGAAGAAGGCCUUCGGGUUGUAAAGCCCUUUUGUUGGGAAAGAAAAGCAGCAGGUUAAUACCCCGCUGUUCUGACGGUACCCAAAGAAUAAGCACCGGCUAACUUCGUG
rnacentral:rRNA from 1 species